GAACCAUGCGCUGUCUGUGUGGUUUCACUGUUACAAGUUUCUUGGCGAUAUGGGGGGAAAGUUCCUCACAUACCAACGGAAAAUGGGCUUCACAUACAUGCUGCUGUCUCAUAAUAUGGCGAAGACGAGUCACCUGAAGGCCUAACUCGCCAUAGAAGACUGAAAGAAUUGUCCUGCAGGAUGCUGUGUCCUGCAAUCCUGUGUGCUGUGCUACAGACGCGUGUGGAGGUCAACCCAAAAUGGGCACAGUCUCACCACAGAAGAGUGAAAGAGGAUCCUGGCAGGGAGACGGUAGUGUCCUGCAGAAUGGUGAUGGGCCAAUCUUACAAGAGACCACAGAAAACUGAUAUAGUGAACUAUAGAAACAGAGUGCCUGCUGCAGUAUGGCGAGGACACCCUGAGCAGAGAGCUCCAAUAGACCC